rnacentral:rRNA from 1 species
UACGAAGGGGGCUAGCGUUGCUCGGAAUCACUGGGCGUAAAGGGCGCGUAGGCGGAUCUUUAAGUCGGGUGUGAAAGCCCCGGGCUCAACCUGGGAAUUGCAUUCGAGACUGCAUGGCUAGGAUGCGGAAGAGGGAAGCGGAAUUUCCGGUGUAGCGGUGAAAUGCGUAGAUAUCGGAAGGAACACCAGUGGCGAAAGCGGCUUCCUGGUCCAGCAUCGACGUCAGGCACGAAAGCGUGGGGAGCAAACAGG